rnacentral:rRNA from 1 species
UACGGGGGGGGCAAGCGUUGUUCGGAAUUACUGGGCGUAAAGGGCUCGUAGGCGGCCAACUAAGUCAGACGUGAAAUCCCCCGGCUUAACCUGGGAACUGCGUCUGAUACUGGAGGGCUUGAGUGCGGGAGAGGGAUGUGGAAUUCCAGGUGUAGCGGUGAAAUGCGUAGAUAUCUGGAGGAACACCGGUGGCGAAGGCGGCAUCCUGGACCGACACUGACGCUGAGGCGCGAAAGCUAGGGUAGCAAGCGGG